UUAAGCGACUAAGCGUACACGGUGGAUGCCCUGGCAGUCAGAGGCGAUGAAGGACGUGCUAAUCUGCGAUAAGCGUCGGUAAGGUGAUAUGAACCGUUAUAACCGGCGAUUUCCGAAUGGGGAAACCCAGUGUGAUUCGUCACACUAUCAUUAACUGAAUCCAUAGGUUAAUGAGGCGAACCGGGGGAACUGAAACAUCUAAGUACCCCGAGGAAAAGAAAUCAACCGAGAUUCCCCCAGUAGCGGCGAGCGAACGGGGAGGAGCCCAGAGCCUGAAUCAGUGUGUGUGUUAGUGGAAGCGUCUGGAAAGGCGCGCGAUACAGGGUGACAGCCCCGUACACAAAAAUGCACAUGCUGUGAGCUCGAUGAGUAGGGCGGGACACGUGGUAUCCUGUCUGAAUAUGGGGGGACCAUCCUCCAAGGCUAAAUACUCCUGACUGACCGAUAGUGAACCAGUACCGUGAGGGAAAGGCGAAAAGAACCCCGGCGAGGGGAGUGAAAAAGAACCUGAAACCGUGUACGUACAAGCAGUGGGAGCCUCUUUAUGGGGUGACUGCGUACCUUUUGUAUAAUGGGUCAGCGACUUAUAUUCUGUAGCAAGGUUAACCGAAUAGGGGAGCCGAAGGGAAACCGAGUCUUAACUGGGCGUUAAGUUGCAGGGUAUAGACCCGAAACCCGGUGAUCUAGCCAUGGGCAGGUUGAAGGUUGGGUAACACUAACUGGAGGACCGAACCGACUAAUGUUGAAAAAUUAGCGGAUGACUUGUGGCUGGGGGUGAAAGGCCAAUCAAACCGGGAGAUAGCUGGUUCUCCCCGAAAGCUAUUUAGGUAGCGCCUCGUGAAUUCAUCUCCGGGGGUAGAGCACUGUUUCGGCAAGGGGGUCAUCCCGACUUACCAACCCGAUGCAAACUGCGAAUACCGGAGAAUGUUAUCACGGGAGACACACGGCGGGUGCUAACGUCCGUCGUGAAGAGGGAAACAACCCAGACCGCCAGCUAAGGUCCCAAAGUCAUGGUUAAGUGGGAAACGAUGUGGGAAGGCCCAGACAGCCAGGAUGUUGGCUUAGAAGCAGCCAUCAUUUAAAGAAAGCGUAAUAGCUCACUGGUCGAGUCGGCCUGCGCGGAAGAUGUAACGGGGCUAAACCAUGCACCGAAGCUGCGGCAGCGACACUAUGUGUUGUUGGGUAGGGGAGCGUUCUGUAAGCCUGCGAAGGUGUACUGUGAGGUAUGCUGGAGGUAUCAGAAGUGCGAAUGCUGACAUAAGUAACGAUAAAGCGGGUGAAAAGCCCGCUCGCCGGAAGACCAAGGGUUCCUGUCCAACGUUAAUCGGGGCAGGGUGAGUCGACCCCUAAGGCGAGGCCGAAAGGCGUAGUCGAUGGGAAACAGGUUAAUAUUCCUGUACUUGGUGUUACUGCGAAGGGGGGACGGAGAAGGCUAUGUUGGCCGGGCGACGGUUGUCCCGGUUUAAGCGUGUAGGCUGGUUUUCCAGGCAAAUCCGGAAAAUCAAGGCUGAGGCGUGAUGACGAGGCACUACGGUGCUGAAGCAACAAAUGCCCUGCUUCCAGGAAAAGCCUCUAAGCAUCAGGUAACAUCAAAUCGUACCCCAAACCGACACAGGUGGUCAGGUAGAGAAUACCAAGGCGCUUGAGAGAACUCGGGUGAAGGAACUAGGCAAAAUGGUGCCGUAACUUCGGGAGAAGGCACGCUGAUAUGUAGGUGAAGUCCCUUGCGGAUGGAGCUGAAAUCAGUCGAAGAUACCAGCUGGCUGCAACUGUUUAUUAAAAACACAGCACUGUGCAAACACGAAAGUGGACGUAUACGGUGUGACGCCUGCCCGGUGCCGGAAGGUUAAUUGAUGGGGUUAGCGGUAACGCGAAGCUCUUGAUCGAAGCCCCGGUAAACGGCGGCCGUAACUAUAACGGUCCUAAGGUAGCGAAAUUCCUUGUCGGGUAAGUUCCGACCUGCACGAAUGGCGUAAUGAUGGCCAGGCUGUCUCCACCCGAGACUCAGUGAAAUUGAACUCGCUGUGAAGAUGCAGUGUACCCGCGGCAAGACGGAAAGACCCCGUGAACCUUUACUAUAGCUUGACACUGAACAUUGAGCCUUGAUGUGUAGGAUAGGUGGGAGGCUUUGAAGUGUGGACGCCAGUCUGCAUGGAGCCGACCUUGAAAUACCACCCUUUAAUGUUUGAUGUUCUAACGUUGGCCCCUAAUCGGGGUUGCGGACAGUGUCUGGUGGGUAGUUUGACUGGGGCGGUCUCCUCCUAAAGAGUAACGGAGGAGCACGAAGGUUGGCUAAUCCUGGUCGGACAUCAGGAGGUUAGUGCAAUGGCAUAAGCCAGCUUGACUGCGAGCGUGACGGCGCGAGCAGGUGCGAAAGCAGGUCAUAGUGAUCCGGUGGUUCUGAAUGGAAGGGCCAUCGCUCAACGGAUAAAAGGUACUCCGGGGAUAACAGGCUGAUACCGCCCAAGAGUUCAUAUCGACGGCGGUGUUUGGCACCUCGAUGUCGGCUCAUCACAUCCUGGGGCUGAAGUAGGUCCCAAGGGUAUGGCUGUUCGCCAUUUAAAGUGGUACGCGAGCUGGGUUUAGAACGUCGUGAGACAGUUCGGUCCCUAUCUGCCGUGGGCGCUGGAGAACUGAGGGGGGCUGCUCCUAGUACGAGAGGACCGGAGUGGACGCAUCACUGGUGUUCGGGUUGUCAUGCCAAUGGCACUGCCCGGUAGCUAAAUGCGGAAGAGAUAAGUGCUGAAAGCAUCUAAGCACGAAACUUGCCCCGAGAUGAGUUCUCCCUGACUCCCUGAGAGUCCUGAAGGAACGUUGAAGACGACGACGUUGAUAGGCCGGGUGUGUAAGCGCAGCGAUGCGUUGAGCUAACCGGUACUAAUGAACCGUGAGGCUUAACCUU
rnacentral:rRNA from 1 species